rnacentral:snoRNA from 1 species
CCUUCCCCUAGAAGCAUUACAGGUGUGCUGCUGUGUCACCUGCGUAUCGGUAGCUAGCAGAGAGGAGAGAGGCUAUGUGUGCUUGACCUAUGGACAGCUAAAUGAUUAGUAGCCUAACAAU